rnacentral:rRNA from 1 species
ACUCAAAUGAAUUGACGGGGGCCCGCACAAGCAGUGGAGCAUGUGGUUUAAUUCGAUGCUACCCGAAGAACCUUACCAGGUCUUGACAUCCGAGUAAUCCCACAGAGAUGAGGGAGUGCCUUAGGGAAACUCGAGACAGGUGGUGCAUGGUUGUCGUCAGCUCGUGUCGUGAGAUGUUGGGUUAAGUCCCGCAACGAGCGCAACCCUUGAUGUCGGUUGCCAGCAGGUAAAGCUGGGCACUCCGGCGUGACUGCCGUAGAGAAUACGGAGGAAGGCGGGGAUGAGGUCAAAUCAUCAUGCCCUAUAUGACCUGGGCUACACACGUGCUACAAUGGGGUGAACAGCGGGAAGCGAGCCGGCGACGGUAAGCGGAACCCUAAAAACGCCUCUCAGUUCGGAUUGCAGGCUGCAACUCGCCUGCAUGAAGUCGGAAUUGCUAGUAAUCGCGGAUCAGCAAGCCGCGGUGAAUACGUUCCCGGGCCUUGCACACACCGCCCGU